GGGUCUCCCUGUGUGAUAUCUAUAACCUGUCUAUAAAAGCAAGAAACCUGAGUCUAACGAUAGCGAAUGUAACAAGCUUUAAAAUGUCAAAUUCACCCUCUGUGGAUAUUGUUUGGCAAGCUACGAAUGACACCGGUUGACCUGUUUGCGGUGCUUCUGCAGCCCCCCAUUCUCUUUGCCGUUGUUGUCUUCAUCAAAUCGUGCCACCUGUGCCACUCCAGAUGAGGCUGUGGCUGUUCACCCCAGCUUCUUGCUCAAGUCAUGUGCUAUUAAGAGGUUUAAAGAGUUCAAUUUCAUUGCUGCUUUAUCAAAGAAAUACAAGAGAAGAGAAAGUGUUUGAUGAGGCAAUUAUUGACAUUCUGUUUCCUAUGGAUGAAAUUGGUACCGUAAAUCCAAAAGUGCUACGGGAGCUCUUCUCAGUGCACUGCGAUUGGCAGUAGGCAAAGUUCCAGAAGAUUAGUAAGAAACAGGGAAUGCUCUUGCUGGGCAUAUAAAACUUGUGCAUAAUUUGAGGAUAUGCUAAAGAGACUAAUACUUCAUUGCCUCCAAGGUUUGACAUAAAUAUAAAUUUUGUUAGUGUCUUGUGUUUGAUUUUGUUAUUUGACUGUGUAUAUUUGUUUGCGAUUUUUCUUUGGAUUUGUUAAGCAGGGCUCAAACUCGGGCAUAAACUAAUGCAUAGGAGCUAUUUGACUAAAAUUCCGAAAAUGCUUGUACUCUUCUAUUACAAUACAUCUUCUAUGGCAGUGUUAUUUUUUGUAGUCAAGUAUUGCUUUUGAGGUGUCAUUAACUGUGGCUUCCAUGUGUUUGCAGAUGGGUCUAUUGACGAACAACUGAAUGGUGAGUCAACCCAAAAUCUUUUGCCUGCCCAAAGGGUUCUGAGAGUAAGAUAGGAAUGGAAAGACAUUAUGUGAUCCACAUAGCAUUUCUACAUCAAUAAAAUGUAUAAAAAUAAGUGGAUUCAAACUGAAUAAAUAAUGCUGUAAAUUUUGAAAUGAUUUAAUUGAAAUAUAUAUUGUAUACAUAGUAGGAAUAAAAUGGUCAACAUAUAAAGCUGU